rnacentral:rRNA from 1 species
GACGAACCGUGCGAACGUUAUUCGGAAUCACUGGGCUUAAAGCGCGUGUAGGCGGGCCGGCACGUCCGGUGCUGAAAGCCCCCGGCUCAACCGGGGAACGGGCACGGAUACGGCCGGCCUGGAGGGGGGUAGGGGGACCUGGAACUUCCGGUGGAGCGGUGAAAUGCGUUGAGAUCGGAAGGAACGCCCGUGGCGAAAGCGAGGUCCUGGGCCCUUACUGACGCUGAGACGCGAAAGCGUGGGGAGCGAACAGG